rnacentral:lncRNA from 1 species
GGCGUGACAAUAUAUAUAUAUAUAUAUAUAUAUAUAUAUAUAUAUAUAUAUAUUACUUUGAAAAUUUAAGUUUGAAUAUGAUAUGUUUUAAAAUUUGGUAAAGUGAAAUGCUUGCUUUCGAGUUUGGAUUUUCAGAUGUAAAAUUUGGUAAAGUGAAAUGCUGGCUUUCGAGUUUGGAUUUUCAGGUUUGGGUUCACAUUUUGAUUUUUUAAAUUUUUAAAAUUGGACGGAUUUGAGUUUACUUACAGAUUUUGAUUUUUAUUGUCAGAUUUGGAUUCGAAUUUUUAAAAAUUCAUUCGGAAUCCGACGUGUUGGCAUAUCUGGUAG